UACAGAGGUCUCAAGCGUUGUUCGGAUUCAUUGGGCGUAAAGGGUGCGUAGGUGGCGGGGCAAGUCUGGUGUGAAAUCUCGGAGCUCAACUCCGAAACUGCACUGGAUACUGCCUUGCUCGAGUACUGGAGAGGAGAUUGGAAUUUACGGUGUAGCAGUGAAAUGCGUAGAUAUCGUAAGGAAGACCAGUGGCGAAAGCGAAUCUCUGGACAGUUACUGACACUGAGGCACGAAGGCCAGGGGAGCAAACGGG
rnacentral:rRNA from 1 species